rnacentral:rRNA from 1 species
UGCAGUCGACGGUAACAGGUCUUCGGAUGCUGACGAGUGGCGAACGGGUGAGUAAUACAUCGGAACGUGCCCGAUCGUGGGGGAUAACGCAGCGAAAGCUGUGCUAAUACCGCAUACGAUCUACGGAUGAAAGCAGGGGACCGCAAGGCCUUGCGCGGACGGAGCGGCCGAUGGCAGAUUAGGUAGUUGGUGGGAUAAAAGCUUACCAAGCCGACGAUCUGUAGCUGGUCUGAGAGGACGACCAGCCACACUGGGACUGAGACACGGCCCAGACUCCUACGGGAGGCAGCAGUGGGGAAUUUUGGACAAUGGGCGAAAGCCUGAUCCAGCCAUGCCGCGUGCAGGAUGAAGGCCUUCGGGUUGUAAACUGCUUUUGUACGGAACGAAAAGGUUCUUUCUAAUAAAGAGGGCCCAUGACGGUACCGUAAGAAUAAGCACCGGCUAACUACGUGCCAGCAGCCGCGGUAAUACGUAGGGUGCAAGCGUUAAUCGGAAUUACUGGGCGUAAAGCGUGCGCAGGCGGUUAUAUAAGACAGAUGUGAAAUCCCCGGGCUCAACCUGGGAACUGCAUUAGUGACUGUAUAGCUAGAGUGCGGCAGAGGGGGAUGGAAUUCCGCGUGUAGCAGUGAAAUGCGUAGAUAUGCGGAGGA